AACUCAGGAUAUUCUAUGAUUCUAUGAUUAGCAUACGAAGCGAGGGUAGGCGGGGUUAGGUAAUGAAUAUGUAUGCAUGCUAAUUGAAUAUUCAUGGUUUCGCUGUAUAAAUAUGAGAUAUUUUGUCACUUCGAAUAUGCACGAUAGGCGGAAGGAUCCCCCGUGCAUCCAGCGCUGCAAUAAAGAAUAGACCACUUAAGAAAAUUUCGGAUUUGAUCUUUAAAUCAGCAUCCUGAGACCUUUGUGAUGUCACCCCAGAUUCACUGUGGCCUCACAAAAGGCAGCUGGCCAUAAGUGCCUGAGCAUCCAGCCUGCGUUGAGUCUGGCUGGUGGCACUUGAGAGAUUGAGGUCCCACUGCUAGAACGUGAGAUAUGGAGGUAUUACUGGUGGAAGGUGUGGCAUUGAGGUCAUUCUGGUGGCAUGCAAGAUGUCAAUGUCCUUCUGGUGGCACAUGAGAUGUUGAGAUCCCUCUGGUUGCAGUCAAGGCAUCAAGGUCCUUCUGGUGGGGCACAAGAGCAGCAUCCUUGGGAGGACAAGCAUCUCCAUGCUGGAGAAGCCAUGGGCACCAUGAGCCAGACACACCAGGAGCAGCCAGAGGAGGCCCCAAGAGAAGAGACAUGCACCAUCUGCUUGAGCCCUUUGCACAAAUCCAGGUAACAGCUUGCUACAGCUUACUGUAGGCACAUGCUGUGUGGACACCCUACACUCAUCCUCCAGGCUGCCCAAUGGUCACCACACAUCUCAAACAAGCCCCAGGGGAAAAGGACAGGCUUUUUGCUCAGUGCCCGGAUGCUGUCAUUCCUCACAAGAGCCUGUAGGUGUUGCAACAGCACCAACAUUAAUUACAAAUAAUAGGCAGUGACUUGCAGCUCUGUGGGGAAGUGCAGCAGCACUGGCAAUGGCAAGGGAAAGGUCUCUCCUCACUGUUCUCCUCAGUGCUCGUGGUGUGCAAUGCACCAUUCACACCUGCAGGAGUUAUUUUUACUUCUCUGUAUCCAAGGAAUCUUGUUAGCAUUUUGUUUCUCCGGAACAUUUCUGUGGACUUCCUGUUUGAAACACAAUUGCUGUACACUGGUCACUUAAAGGGGAACUACUACCAGCUAGCUCCCUUACAACCCAGCUUGGGGGAGGAGGACUGGAGGCAAAGCAAGUAUGUGAUGGUAAAAAUUAAAAAUAAGUCUGCUGGAAAAUAAUUCAAAAUUCAUUUUUCUUUCUUUCUUUCUUUCUUUCUUU
rnacentral:lncRNA from 1 species